rnacentral:tRNA from 1 species
CCCUGGUAAAUAGGCCAAUAGCAGCGACCCUCCGAAGGUCGCGGACCAGGUUCGACUCCUGGCGAGGGCA